rnacentral:antisense_RNA from 1 species
UUUGACGGAGCCGAGCCAGAGUGGUUCUCCGGCCGCUCGGUCCCGGCCGUAGGUGGCGAGCAGUGCCUGUGUCUC